UGGAUUCAAGUCCUACCGCGCGCUCGGUACGCCGCUGCCAGAUGGCGCCGGUCGCCCGCGGCGAUUCACUUCGCUUGCGGUGUCGUUCCCGGCGAUCACUCGGUCCACGCGGCGUUCUCACCGGCGCCGGAGGAGUGCACUUCCUCCCUAGUAGAAACGUCGCGACCCGUUGGGUGCCGGUCCAAGGCCCGGGGUGGCAGCCCGUGCGUCCCGUGGGGGUUCCUCCACGGGCGCGCGGACCCCCGGUGACCCGGCCGGCUGCCCGACGGUACGACCAGAGGAGUCGAUCCGCCGCCUGGGAAACACUUUGGCUUGUGUGGCGUCCGGCCCGGCGACGACGCGUGUGGGGAUUGAGGUGCAAACCGGGGGUGCCCGUGCGAAGCACGGCCCCGGCCCCACUGCGCGUUCGGACGUCGGUGUCCUCGGACCGGAUCAGCACUCCCGUCUGCGACGCCCACCUUCGGAUGGUCUCCCG
rnacentral:rRNA from 1 species